rnacentral:misc_RNA from 1 species
UCCGGUUUGUCACCGGCAGUCUCAUUAGAGUGCCCUUUCGUAGCAACUAAUGACAAGGGUUGCGCUCGUUGCGGGACUUAACCCAACAUCUCACGACACGAGCUGACGACAGCCAUGCAGCACCUGUGUGCCGGUUCCCUUUCGGGCACUCCCUGGUUUCCCAAGGAUUCCGACCAUGUCAAGGGUAGGUAAGGUUUUUCGCGUUGCAUCGAAUUAAUCCACAUCAUCCACCGCUUGUGCGGGUCCCCGUCAAUUCCUUUGAGUUUUAGCCUUGCGGCCGUAGUCCCCAGGCGGAGCACUUAUCGCGUUAGCUGCGGCACCGAGGGGGUCGAUACCCCCGACACCUAGUGCUCAUCGUUUACGGCGUGGACUAC